GAGUUUGAUUCUGGCUCAGGAUGAACGCACAAGACGUGCCUAACACAUGCAAAUCGAAUGAAAAUAAUUAAUUAUUGUUUUCAUGGUGAACGGGUGAGUAACACAUAAGAAUCAGCUUUUAGAUAAGGCAUAAAAGAGUAAUAUCUUGGUAAUUCCUUAUAUGCGCAGCAGUGCUUAAAAAGGGGAGUCCCGUCUAAAAACGAGCUUAUGCCUGAUUAGCUAGUUGGCGAGUUAAAAGCUCACCAAGGCGAAGAUCAGUAGCUGGCCUGAGAGGGCGGCCAGCCACAUUGGGACUGAGACACGGCCCAAACUCCUACGGGAGGCAGCAGUGGGGAAUCUUCUGCAAUGGGCGCAAGCCUGACAGAGCGGCGUCGUGUGAAGGAAGAAGGCCUGAAAUAGGUUGUAAACUUCUUUUACUGAGUAAUGAAUAAUGACAACGCAGUAAAAAAGUAUCGGCUAACUCCGUGCCAGCAGCCGCGGUAAUACGGGGGAUGCAAGCGUUAUCCGGAAUAACUGGGCGUAAAGCGUCUGUAGGUGGUUUAGUGUGUUCUUAGUUAAAUUCUGAAGCCUAACUUCAUGAAAAGUAAGAAAACUAUUAGACUUGAGUACGAUAGGGGUAAGAGGAAUUCUUCGAGAAGUAGUGAAAUGCGAAGAUACGAAGGAGAAGAUCAUAAGCGAAGGCUUCUUACUGGGUCGUAACUGACACUGAGAGACGAAAGCUAGGGGAGCGAAUGGGAUUAGAUACCCCAGUAGUCCUAGCUGUAAACGAUGGAUAUUCGGUGCCGGAAAUUUUAUUAGAACAUUUCGGUACCCUAGCUAACGCGUUAAAUGUCCCGCCUGAGGAGUACGCUCGCAAGGGUGAAACUCAAAGGAAUUGACGGGGGCUCGCACAAGCGGUGGAGCAUGUGGUUUAAUUCGAUGCAAAGCGAAGAACCUUACCAGGGCUUGACAGUAUGUAU
rnacentral:rRNA from 1 species